GAGUCAAGUCAUCGCCAUCAUCAGCCACGGACCACAACAAACGUUCUGACGGAAGGUCGUUGAGAGCUGGACACGAGGAGGAAAACACUGGAGAAGGAGAGAGGAAACUGAUCAAAGGCUCUAAAGGAAGGAAGACCAAGGCGUAGGGUCCUGAGAAGCGAUACAAGGCGUCAGAGGCCCCCAGCAGAGGAGGAAGGAGGCACACACACACACACCGCCCCGCCGCCCUAACAACAGCUCGCCAUGUCGUACAUGCUGCAGCACCUCCACAACGGGUGGCAGGUGGACCAGGCCAUCCUCAGCGAGGAGGACAGGGUGGUGGUAAUCCGCUUUGGUCACGACUGGGACCCAACCUGCAUGAAGAUGGAUGAGGUUCUGUACAACAUUGCCGAGAAGGUGAAGAACUUUGCCGUCAUCUACUUGGUCGACAUCACGGAGGUGCCGGACUUCAACAAGAUGUACGAGUUGUAUGACCCCUGCACCUGCAUGUUCUUCUUCAGGAACAAGCACAUCAUGAUUGAUCUGGGCACUGGUAACAACAACAAAAUAAACUGGGCUCUGGAGGACAAGCAGGAGAUGAUCGAUAUUGUGGAGACCGUGUACCGUGGUGCAAGAAAAGGCCGAGGUUUGGUGGUGUCCCCCAAAGAUUACUCCACCAAGUACAGAUACUGAGGCACCACCUGGACCCUUAUCUUUAUUUACAGACGAGAUGGAUGGUCAGUGCUCUGACACCCAAGAGAAGCACAUGACAGAGGCCUUGAUGACCCCACACACAAGCAGGUCAGUGAAAAAAAAUGUAAUCUCUCACACACACCUGGUAGUGAUUGGUGGAGUUUGCCAGGGUGAGCUAAGCUCUCUGACUCAUGUGACUGAUCUGAUGCAUUGGCAAUCACCGUCAUUCAAAAAGCUGGCAAUUCACGUAUUAAGGUGAGUGUGGGUAGUUGUACAUUGCUUAAAGUCUUCCUUGUGGUCAUUGUUUAUAUUUUGCCAAAGGGACUUUGUCAGGAUGUGUUCAAUAAAUCAUUCAUCGGGGACAUUUGCCAGGGGACACCUCACCAGCCCCGCGACACCAUUCCCCGAGAUCCCUGUGAGCACGUCUACACACAGGGUCUCUUUCCAAGCUGUGUAGGUGUCCCCUUGGCCCCCUCCACUUGGUAUACUGUCUCACACAGAAACAACCCAGUAACCAGGGUCAGUGCCACAUGCCUGUAAUGGCAGAGUUGGCAUCCAGAGACUAUGUAGGAAGUAGGUCUUGAUUUAAUCUCUUAGAGUAAUCAGUUUGACCAUUUCAUUCUAGUGAUAUCCCAUUACUCUGUGAAGGCACUUUUUUCCAAAUGGAGUCAUUUUGCCUCCAAGUCACUAUUUAUUGUCCCAAGUCUCACAGCCAUAGAGGAAGACAAGGUGCACAUGCAACUUGAAGAUCUGAAUCUUGGUUUAUCUGCACAGGUAACGACAAUACCAUAUACUUGUGCUGAGCUAGUCCCUAACACCAUAGGCCAAGCUCUUUUACUGUAAGACUUUUUGACAAGACCCACUCUAGUUCUGCACUACACUGCCAAUGUAUAUAAAACUUUCCAAGAUUUUGAUAUUCUAGCCACAUGCACGAACAUAAUGUACUGUCUCAUCCUGUCAGCCUCCAGACACCUGUACCUUGGUCGUGCCUCAGGAGACCUGGAGUCCCAAAGGAAAGGACACUCCACUUCCUUGCGAGCUAUCUCUGGAACCUUCAGCGACUCCAUAAUUGCAUGAUCGGCAAAAACAAAGUCAGUGACCCUGGCGUUGCUAACAGGUGCUCCACAAUGACCUAAUUCACACUUUUGCCUAGUACCAGUCCAUGUAAGGGUUGAAAAUGAUUUAGCAAAAACACAUACCUGCCUCUCUUUUGUGUUUAUGGGAAAAAAGCUGGAUAUAGCCCCCACACACACUUCACAGCACUCUGUCCUAGACUAUAGGCCAAUCAACUGACCAACAGUCCUUGCAGGAAUCCUGUGGCAUUGCAGAUCCUAGCAUGCCUUGUGAUGCACUGCAUCGAACACCUUCAUGAGAUCAAAAGGGUGCAAGCAUUGCCUGUCAAAGCUUCUGUCAGUCCUCCACCAGUAUGCGAAGUGCUAGGAUAUGGUCAAUUGUCAACUUGCAGUGUCAUGGGUUUCAGAUAAGGCACUGGAUGAAGGACUCUUGGUGUACACAUGUGUUACUAUUCCAACAUCAGAGCUAAUUCCAUCGUCACAGCACCCCCAAAACAACAGAGUACCAACCCCAACUGUGGCCACAGCAAUGAGGAGGAGGCAGGCAGCAUACAGCAAGGAGACCAUUGGGAGGUUGAGGCUGGCUGCCACCACCAGUGUGAAGAACUGGAACUCAGGGUCACAGUAGCCUGAUGUGCUGAUGAUUAUAUCUCUUCUCUCCCUCCAGCCAGUCAACACUGACACCAGCCCUGCCAAGGAGGCACAAUCAGCAGUUUAGACAUAGAACACACUCACGUACACACAUGCCAUACAUGAUUAGCUGGUGCCAUUAUUCUCUAGUGUAGAAGUGAAGGAAUGUAAAAGAUCUUUAGUGGUAAAAUGACCAAGCUGAAGUAUAUGCAACAUAUCUUCAUGGUUGAAGAACAAGACAGUUGCUCAAUUCAUUGCUGUUACCUAGUGACGGCCACACCACCACCACUGCCAUCAAGAACAAGGCUGUGUAAUGAAGGGCCGUAACAGUCCUGGUGCCAAGGUGCCGGGGCAAGAAGUAUGCUGGGAUGAAGGUCACCAAGCAUGCCACUGUUACUGCACCUGGAAAAGGAGGAUGUCUUCAGUGAUCCAUGUGGCUCUUUGCUGCAGAGCAUCAGAGCCAGGCUUGGGGUGUGGGUGUUGUUCUGAGUUUAAACCCGGUAGCAGCGACGGGCCAAAUCUGUGGCUUUACCAUGUAGCAGCGACGGGCCAAAUCUGUGGCUUUACCGUGUAGCAGCGACGGGCCAAAUUUGUGCCAUGAUAUAAACCC